CGUCCGGCCGCGUGUCUCCGGGAGGCACGUGAAGAAGAAAACCCAAGCGACCGCGGCGAUGCCGGAGUAGAGGAAGAAGCUGCCGCCGAUGGUGAUGGCCUUGGAGAGGGACAGGAAGGUCAUGGAGAUGACGGCGCUGGUGACGCGGUUGCUCGCCACACCCACCGCGAAGCCCAGCGCGCGCACCUGCAGCGGGAAUAUUUCCGAGGUGUACACGCCCGUGAUGGGCCCGAGGCCGAUGGAGAAGAAGGCGAUGUAGGACAGGGUGGACGCGAUGCACAGGGCGACGGCCCACGCGACCUUGGUGUCCGGGUGAUGCCCCGCGACGGUGAGCCCCGACCCGAGGCAGAUGAGCGAGACGAUCAUCCCGCCCGUGCUGAUCAGCAGCAGAGGCCGACGCCCCGCGCGGUCCAGCAGGAACGUGGCCACCAGGAUGAAGAACGUCUUGGUCACGCCCACCGCGCAGGUGACGCCCAGGAGCUUGUUGUCGUCGGUGAUCCCCGCGCUCUUGAACAGGCGGGCGCUGUACUGGACGACGGAGUCGCUGCCAGAAGCCUGCUGGAAGAAGUGGAGACCCACGGCCGAGAGCAGGAUGCGUCGGACCGCCGGGGUCGGGGACAGGAUGAGCUGCUUCCACACCUGCAACUCACCGCCGCCUUGCUCCUUGUUGGGUACGGUGACCACGUCCCCGUCGAGGCCCUUCGGAAUCCCCGCCGCGGCCUUGAUGUCGGCCAGCCGCUCGGCGGCCUCCUCUGGCGUGGCAGAGGUCUUCUCUAGCACAGCCCUGGCGUCCGCGAGGCGGCCCUUCAAGACCAGCCACCGAGGCGACUCGGGCAUGCAGAACACCAGGAGCGCG
rnacentral:misc_RNA from 1 species